rnacentral:rRNA from 1 species
GACGAACGCUGGCGGCGGGCUUAACACAUGCAAGUCGAACGGAAAGGCACUGCUUUUGUGGGGUGCUCGAGUGGCGAACGGGUGAGUAACACGUGAGUAACCUGCCCUUGACUUUGGGAUAACUUCAGGAAACUGGGGCUAAUACAGGAUAGGAGCUCCUGCUGCAUGGUGGGGGUUGGAAAUUUGCGGCGGUUGGGGCUGGACUCGCGGCUUAUCAGCUUGUUGGUGGGGUAGUGGCUGACCAAGGCUGUGACGGGUAGCCGGCCUGAGAGGGUGACCGGCCACAAUGGGACUGCGAUACGGCCCAGUCUCCUACGGGAGGCAGCAGUGGGGAAUAUUGCACAAUGGGCGGAAGCCUGAUGCAGCAACGCCGCGUGCGGGAUGACGGCCUUCGGGUUGUAAACCGCUUUCGCCUGUGACGAAGCGGGAGUGACGGUAAUGGGUAAAGAAGCACCGGCUAACUACGUG